ACGAGCCAUUCUCUGCUUUUUGGAUCUGUCGAAGAAAUGAAAAGUUUUAGUAACAUCUCUAUGGGAAAAUUGAAUAUAAAAUUGCCAUCGAGAUAUGUCUUUUUUACGUAUAUUUCGAGUUUUGCGCACCGGUGGAAAAUUCGAGAAGGGUGAGAGAAAGGAGAAACGGGGAACGUUUCCUCUGCGAGAAGCAACGGUCAACGGAUGAGAUUCACAUAACUGGAUCCGUGGCUAUCAAAGGGUUAAAGAAAUCGUCGAGAAGAUAUGUAAAAAAGGAAAUCGAUUUAGCUGCCAUAAACGUUAAACCGGUAUAACUCUCAUGUCAUCAUACAAAGGGGAUGCGGUAUAACGGUUCCUUUGAAAUUGCAUGUGAUGUUAAAUAGAAACGUUAUUUAUGUCUUACUUUAAAUCUGCAAUAUUAUUGGUCAAUUUAUACAACAUUCUUAUAUUAAACAUGACUAAUUAUCUAAAAUCUACAAAUUUUAGCUUUAGUCGCGAACAACAAGUUUAGUUACCGAAGUAAAGAUAUGAAAGCAUCUGUGUGUAUGUGAUAUGCCGCAUUUCAAAAUACUAAGGGAUUUUAAAUUGUUCGAGCAAGAUCACGUAGCGAUAAUAUUCUACGUGUAUAAAUCAUCUUUGUUAUUUAAUUACAAAGAAAUGUAUUAUUCAGUUAUGGAAUAUUAUUUCUUUUCUUUCUUUCCCCGAUAUGAUGAUUUAUAUAUAUAUAUAUAAAGCAUGAAGAUUCUUAUGUCAUUCGACCGAGAAAAUCUGUUUAUAAAUUUUCAUUCUGCGAGCCGACGAGACUAAAAUAAUAAUCCGACACCUGGAGAUAUUUUUCACGCGCAUCUUGAAUCUUUUCCUUCGCAAAAGCCAUCUGACAAAAAUUCUAUGCCAUGGCAGCGAAUUUUCGAAAAUGCUCGACUUAUCUUCCUGUCGGGCACCUGGGCAUCUUCGCCCCCUUCACAAUUUUGAGGGGUGACUAGCAUCCCUCGCGUCGGAGCAAAAAUCCUGAGGGAGGAAACCGACGCGUCGCGUACGUUACGCAACGUGGAAACAGGUAAGGACUAGAGAAUCCCGUUCUAGGAUCAAGGAUUUCUUCGUCUGACGCGAUCUCUUCCUUCUUCAACGAGGGGUGAGUGACGACAAGAAGGGGCUGCGCUUGAAAAGGAACAUUGUGCCGAAUUGUUUUCCCAGGGCCCUGCUGAAGGGAAGGGCUCCCCCCGUCAAUCCCCAUGCACGUCGAGGAAGGAAGGGCCUAGUAUAUAAGGGCCCGUUCGGUCUGCAGCGAUCACAGAACAUCACCAUCAACGGCGAAGAGAGGAAGUCUCUCGGCUUCUUCGACCGAUCGGCCGCCGCGGUCAAACGGCCGAGGAGGAUCCGCAGAGGAUGAAGAGAAGAGGAGAAGAGGAGAAAGUGGACCAUAUCUAAUCGGCGAUUGUCAACGUUCUUCUGUCGCAGAUCCAAUCGGAGCGUCUACAUCACUAUCACGAUGGUCUCACCGCCACGGCUUGCAGCAACGAGGCAGCAUCAAUCACGGGUAAUUGGGGCAUCCAUCAGUCGACGGGACGGCAGGGGAAGAUCAAGAUCGACGGGUGCAGCCGGAAACAAGCAUCAAGCGGAAGCCAGCUGUCCAACGAGGAACCAAAACGUGGACGGAUAACAAGUAUCUUCUGGGCGAUCUCGCGUUCCUCGAUGAUCGAGGGAGAUCAUCGGAGAUCAAGAGCGACGAUCGCGCAAUUCUUCGAUUCACUCACAUCUCAAGCUAUUACUCGCAGAAUUAUAUUUAUUAAAUUUAUAAUAUACUAUGGGGAAUUAGUUGAAUUUUUAUCGUGUUUAUUAAAACACUUUUCGCAUUUAUAUGUUGCACAAGAGGCGAAAACAGGCUUUCACGUGUCUACCCGGCCAGCCUGAGAGAAUUAAUUGAUUUACCUAGCACACAUUUGGAAACACACCUUCGAACGAAGCAUCUUCAUCGAAGUGUACAGAGUUCCGCGAAUUCAUCGAGAACGAAUCUUCCGAUAUCGACCUCGAAAAACUAAAGCAGCAAUGUUUUUUCACCGGACCCAAUCAUUUUCCGUCUCAAGAAAAUUUAUUCCAAUCGCCAGACGGACAAUCAUCGGACGUCAAUUGUCGAUCAUUAACGCGACAAUUGGCAAAAUUUAAAGAAAUUCCGGAACUACCUGGCUAACAAAGGCUGCACCUGUUAUUCUCGCCAGACCGAAGAACAAAAGCACUUUCCAAGCAGUAAAAUCAAAAUAACGCAACAUGAAUAAUUCGUCAAAAAUAGCAAGACUUGGAAACGCCAUUUCAUAUUAUCUAUCACUCUGUGUUGCUUCGAAAAGCAACAAUACAAAAUAUUAUCUGUAAACUGUUCUGAAAUUUAUGGAAAGGAUGGACACAGAAAGUUUAUGGAUAAAAGGAGAUUAGAUCUGCUUCUUUUAUUUUCUGAAAUUAUUGAAAAAUCAUCGAAAAAUGUCAGCAUGUACACCACUCGACUUACUUCAGGAUUACUUUGCAGUUACUUCAAAUGAGAGGAAAGCAUUAUAAUCAUUGAAAUAUUAUAGUAUGUUCUGUACUGUUUCGCAUCGCGCGAAAUUCUGAAUUAUGCUUCGCUCGAAAUUGGAUCCAAAAAGGACAAAACGUCUCUCUAUAUCUCUCCUCGAAAGGAUCACGGCAUGGACGGAAUCAGUUCCUCCGACUUCAACCCGGCAACUCUACAUUGUUACAUGCAAGUGCAAGUCUCGCAUCAGGAAUAAUUUCGCAGAACGUUAUUAAACUACGGCCGCAGCACAAGCCGCGCCUUUAAACUCUGAUUUAGUACAUAUAUCGAUUUACAGCAAAGAUUUAUUUUGCGAGAAAACGUUUUCAUUACACUUCCCGCAACAAUCUUUCUACGCGCUGCAAUCUGUCACAUUUGACGAUCAAAGAAGUAUUAACAUGAUUUCAAAUCUGUUCACAGGACGAAUUAUCGAUAAUUAUUUGAAAACGUAUUGCGACUUUAAGUGCAACAGUUUCGCAAGACUCUAUUUUGAUUAUGUCACGAUUCAAAGAGAAGACGCACACGUCUACAACAUACGAUUAAGGCUUCAGAGCAGAUCAAAAGCAAAAUGCAAAAUAGAAAAUCACGCCGUAAAUUAUAUCGUGCAGCCAAAACAGCACUGCACGGAACGAAACUGCAUCGAAAAACGAUUCUCCAGAGUUCAAUUUGGCUGGAGGGAUAAUUGAUAGCUCUCGAUCGAAAUUCGUAAGUUAUUUCGGAUCGACGAGUCAACGCACCGUCAAUUCUUGAGAUUUAACAUUUUUGAAUUUGAUUAAUGAUUACCGAAGAAUAAUAGCAGCGCUCAAAACAGAUAUUCUCAAAAGCAAAGAUAUGCAAAUUCAUAAACAAAAUCCAGGGAAGUAUGCAAAAAAAAAAAA